AGCCGUGCUUCGUAGAAUCUACCAUCGGAUCGGAAACGCGAUCCACUGAGAAGAUCCGGCGAGAAACUCAGUGGGCUG